rnacentral:rRNA from 1 species
UACGAAGGGGGCUAGCGUUGCUCGGAAUCACUAGGCGUAAAGGGUGCGUAGGCGGGUUAUUAAGUCAGAGGUGAAAUCCUGGAGCUCAACUCCAGAACUGCCUUUGAUACUGAUAGUCUUGAGUAUGGGAGAGGUGAGUGGAACUGCGAGUGUAGAGGUGAAAUUCGUAGAUAUUCGCAAGAACACCAGUGGCGAAGGCGGCUCACUGGCCCAUUACUGACGCUGAGGCACGAAAGCGUGGGGAGCAAACAGG